GAAAAAUAAUUUUAAUAAGUAAGAAAAAGUAAUUUUUAAUAAAAAUUCAUUUUAACUAUAGACUAUAAGUACUGAGAAGGAAAGUAUAAGCUUGCAUAUUAGAGUAUAGUAAAUAUAAAUAUUUGUAUCUUGUGUAUUAGAGAAAAUUUAUAUAACUUAGUUAAUUUAACUUUCUCGAAAUAAAUAUAGCUAAUUAAAAAUACUAGUUUUUGUAGAAAAUAAAUUUGUAAUUUUUAGUUAAGGGUGAAAUAUCAAUCGAAAUUUAUUAUAUCUAGUUUUCUCUGAAUGAAUUCAAUUCUUUCUUUUUGGGUAUAUAACUUAAAGUCAAAAUGUAGGAGGGAUUAGCUUCUUAUAAAUAUAAAGUAAAGAAAUAGUUUGAUGUAAAAAAUAUUUUGAAUUAGGCUUAAAAGUGGUUAUUUUAGUAAAGUGUUUCAACUAAGUUAAUAGUUGGCUAAAAAUUUAUAUUAACUUUUGUUUUUAAGGGGAAAUAGUUUAAAAUAAGGUAUAUUUAGAUAUAAUGAUUUUAUUAGUAUAAAUUUGUAUUAUUCAAAAAGGAUAUUUAAAAUAAAAUUAACAUUUUAAGGGGUAAACAAAAACAUGUCUAUUUGUAGGUAUAGAAAGUCUGGCCUGCCCACUGAUAUUAUUAAAGGGCCGCGGUAAUUUGACCGUGCAAAGGUAGCAUAAUCGUUAGUUCCUUAAUUAGGAUCUUGUAUGAACGGUCGGACAAAAGAAUGACUGUCUCUAUACUUUUGUUGAAUUUAACUUUUAAGUGAAAAGGCUUAAAUAUUUUAGAAAGACGAUAAGACCCUGUAAAGCUUAAUAAGUUAGAGCAUUUAGCUGAGUUAAUAAAUAAAAAGUUUAAUGUAAAGAGCUUAUUUUGUUGGGGCGACAAUGAUAAAAUGUUUGUUAACUGUUUAUAAUGAAAGACAGGAUUUUAUGUUUGAAGAGUGAAUAAAUGAUCCUUUAAUUAAGAUUAAAAGUUUAAGUUACUUCAGGGAUAACAGCGUUAUUUUUUUUGAGAGUUCAUAUCGAAAAAAAAGUUUGCGACCUCGAUGUUGAAUUAAAAUUUCUA
rnacentral:rRNA from 1 species